rnacentral:rRNA from 1 species
CCUACGGGUGGCAGCAGUGAGGAAUAUUGGUCAAUGGUCGGGAGACUGAACCAGCCAAGCCGCGUGAGGGACGAAGGUACAGCGUGUCGUAAACCUCUUUUAUCAGGGAACAAAAACUUGCACGCGUGCCCGGCUGAAUGUACCCGAAGAAAAAGGAUCGGCUAACUCCGUGCCAGCAGCCGCGGUAAUUCGGAGGAUGCGAGCGUUAUCCGGAUUUAUUGGGGUUAAAGGGUGCUGAGGUGGGCUGGUAAGUCCGCCGUUAAAGGUCGGGGGCCAACCGCUGCCCUGCGGUUGAAACUGGCAGUCUUGAGUGGGAGAGAAGUAUGCGGAAUGCGUGGUGUAGCGGUGAAAUGCAUAGAUAUCGCGCAGAACUCCGAUUGCGAAGGCAGCAUGCCGGCUCCCAACUGACGCUGAGGCACGAAAGCGUGGGUAUCGAACAGGAUUAGAUACCCCAGUAGUC